GCGUUUUCCGGGAGUGGGGCGUCGGGUCUGGGUCGGGGUGCGGGCUCUUCGCUCUUGUUCGCUCGGAGCUGUCCUCGCUUGGGCUCCUCUCUCUCCUGGGCUUUAAAAGCACCGGGGAGGUGUGCCGAGGAAGCCUCUGGUUCUCCGCGAGAGAAGCGAAGCCGGCGGUCGGGGCGUAGCCGCGUGCCCGGGUCCGCUCGGAGGCUCGCUUUGCCCCUGGAUGCUCCUGGUUACCUCCAGGGCAAGUUCAGCCUGGGUCUGAGGCCUCGUGGCGCUCGUGCUGUUUUUCUGAUAAUUCGAGUGAUUGAACGUCUCAGUGAGGUCUUAAUGGCCGACCCUAGCUUUUAAGCCUCCGCUGUUCAUCCAGAUCACAGUAUGGCUCAGAGAAAGAAAUGCUGUGCUUUUUUCUUAGAUUGUGUACGGAUUUGUUUCUCUUAAAAACAAAAUCUGGUUUCGCAGAAAAUGUGUAAACGCAAAGGAUGACCAAGGAGGGCAUUCAUACUCGAAUUUUCAAACGGAGAAUGUUUUAAUGCAACUAGCAAACAACUGGGUUCCUUUCUUCUCGCUCUCUUUUCCAUUGACUUUACCUUCCUUGCUAUCUGCCGUGUUCUAAAUGCUUGGAAAGCCUCGAGCAACUAAUAAAAUUAGGGAGCUUUGAGAAAAUGUAACAGUUUUGAUUUCUCUUCUCUUUAAGGGUAUUUAAAUUUAAGUCCGUGAGAUUCUGUGGGGAUAAUGGUCUUAAAAUGAGCACAUUAGUACUGGCUGUUGCCAGGCACUGUUCUGAGGGCUUUACAAAUAAUUACUCAUUUAAUCCUCACAACAGUCCCACUAGGAGAAUAGUAUUAUCCCCCUUUUAAAGACGGCGGGCGAAAUAGCGUUUAUGGUGAAGUAAAUGCAACCGCUGGAAUCCAGACCCUAAUGAGGCAGAGUCUGUUCUUAACCACUGUCUGUACUAAAGGUGAUUUAAAACAGAUUCAUCUUGAGGAUAAAUGAGGCUCUCUAAAACAAGAUGCAAUACUAAUCAAAAGAUAUUGACAGGCUCUGUUCUUUGCCUUGUUGCUGGAUAUCGGAUGCUGAGGUCUGAGACUCAUGGACUCGUGGUUAGUUCUGUCAGCUUAGUCCAUCUCCAGUGGUUCGCUGUUGCCAGCUUGGACCCAUCCUACACAUGAUGGCAUCAUGCAUCCCUCUUGGGAUCUAGCUGCAACUCCCAGGAGAUUUUCAUUGUGGGUGGUCCACUACUUCCCCCCAGUUGGCAAUCUCCUGGCUACUUUGCUGUCUGUCUUCCUUGGCAUCAAGAAGAAUCCAGAAACAUCUGGAUUCUUUUCAAGAACACA